rnacentral:rRNA from 1 species
GACGUAGGUGGCGAACGUUAUCCGGAAUUAUUGGGCGUAAAGGAUGCGUAGAUGGUGUAGUAAGUUAUCGGUGGUAAAUCGAGGCUCAACCUCGUGGAAGUCGGUAAUACUGCUAUGCUAGAGGAUAGGAGAAGUUAACGGAACUCCCCGUGGAGCGGUGAAAUGCGUAGAUAUAGGGAAGAACACCAAUAAGGCGAAGGCAGUUAACUAUUCUAUUCCUGACAUUGAGGCAUGAAAGCGUGGGGAGCGAACAGG